rnacentral:rRNA from 1 species
UGUCGGCGUGCCUAAUACAUGCAAGUAGAACGCUGAAGAGAGGAGCUUGCUCUUCUUGGAUGAGUUGCGAACGGGUGAGUAACGCGUAGGUAACCUGCCUUGUAGCGGGGGAUAACUAUUGGAAACGAUAGCUAAUACCGCAUAACAAUGGAUGACACAUGUCAUUUAUUUGAAAGGGGCAAUUGCUCCACUACAAGAUGGACCUGCGUUGUAUUAGCUAGUAGGUGAGGUAACGGCUCACCUAGGCGACGAUACAUAGCCGACCUGAGAGGGUGAUCGGCCACACUGGGACUGAGACACGGCCCAGACUCCUACGGGAGGCAGCAGUAGGGAAUCUUCGGCAAUGGGGGCAACCCUGACCGAGCAACGCCGCGUGAGUGAAGAAGGUUUUCGGAUCGUAAAGCUCUGUUGUAAGUCAAGAACGAGUGUGAGAGUGGAAAGUUCACACUGUGACGGUAGCUUACCAGAAAGGGACGGCUAACUACGUGCCAGCAGCCGCGGUAAUACGUAGGUCCCGAGCGUUGUCCGGAUUUAUUGGGCGUAAAGCGAGCGCAGGCGGUUUGAUAAGUCUGAAGUUAAAGGCUGUGGCUCAACCAUAGUUCGCUUUGGAAACUGUCAAACUUGAGUGCAGAAGGGGAGAGUGGAAUUCCAUGUGUAGCGGUGAAAUGCGUAGAUAUAUGGAGGAACACCGGUGGCGAAAGCGGCUCUCUGGUCUGUAACUGACGCUGAGGCUCGAAAGCGUGGGGAGCGAACAGGAUUAGAUACCCUGGUAGUCCACGCCGUAAACGAUGAGUGCUAGGUGUUGGAUCCUUUCCGGGAUUCAGUGCCGCAGCUAACGCAUUAAGCACUCCGCCUGGGGAGUACGACCGCAAGGUUGAAACUCAAAGGAAUUGACGGGGGCCCGCACAAGCGGUGGAGCAUGUGGUUUAAUUCGAAGCAACGCGAAGAACCUUACCAGGUCUUGACAUCCCGAUGCUAUUUCUAGAGAUAGAAAGUUACUUCGGUACAUCGGUGACAGGUGGUGCAUGGUUGUCGUCAGCUCGUGUCGUGAGAUGUUGGGUUAAGUCCCGCAACGAGCGCAACCCCUAUUGUUAGUUGCCAUCAUUCAGUUGGGCACUCUAGCGAGACUGCCGGUAAUAAACCGGAGGAAGGUGGGGAUGACGUCAAAUCAUCAUGCCCCUUAUGACCUGGGCUACACACGUGCUACAAUGGUUGGUACAACGAGUUGCGAGUCGGUGACGGCAAGCUAAUCUCUUAAAGCCAAUCUCAGUUCGGAUUGUAGGCUGCAACUCGCCUACAUGAAGUCGGAAUCGCUAGUAAUCGCGGAUCAGCACGCCGCGGUGAAUACGUUCCCGGGCCUUGUACACACCGCCCGUCACACCACGAGAGCUUGUAACACCCGAAGUCGGUGAGGUAACCUUUUGGAGCCAGCCGCCUAAGGUGGGAUAGAUGAUUGGGGUGAAGU